rnacentral:rRNA from 1 species
GUGAACGCUGGCGGUAGGCCUAACACAUGCAAGUCGAACGGCAGCACAGUAAGAGCUUGCUCUUACGGGUGGCGAGUGGCGGACGGGUGAGGAAUACAUCGGAAUCUACUUUUUCGUGGGGGAUAACGUAGGGAAACUUACGCUAAUACCGCAUACGACCUACGGGUGAAAGCAGGGGAUCUUCGGACCUUGCGCGAUUGAAUGAGCCGAUGUCGGAUUAGCUAGUUGGCGGGGUAAAGGCCCACCAAGGCGACGAUCCGUAGCUGGUCUGAGAGGAUGAUCAGCCACACUGGAUCUGAGACACGGUCCAGACUCCUACGGGAGGCAGCAGUGGGGAAUAUUGGACAAUGGGCGCAAGCCUGAUCCAGCCAUACCGCGUGGGUGAAGAAGGCCUUCGGGUUGUAAAGCCCUUUUGUUGGGAAAGAAAAGCAGCAGGUUAAUACCCCGCUGUUCUGACGGUACCCAAAGAAUAAGCACCGGCUAACUUCGUG